CACGUAGGGGGCAAGCGUUGUCCGGAAUCAUUGGGCGUAAAGAGCUCGUAGGCGGCUCAGUAAGUCGGGUGUGAAACCUCCAGGCUCAACCUGGAGACGCCACCCGUUACUGCUGUGGCUAGAGUCCAGUAGGGGAGUGUGGAACUCCCGGUGUAGCGGUGAAAUGCGCAGAUAUCGGGAGGGACACCAGCGGCGAAGGCGGCACUCUGGGCUGGUACUGACGCUGAGGAGCGAAAGCGUGGGUAGCAAACAGG
rnacentral:rRNA from 1 species